CUUGGUGGUUAUAGCGAAAGGGUUCCACCUGUUCCCAUUCCGAACACAGAAGUUAAGCCUUUCAGCGGCGAUGGUACUGCCACAUCUCGUGGUGGGAGAGUAGCUCACUGCCAAGA
rnacentral:rRNA from 1 species